rnacentral:misc_RNA from 1 species
AUCUAAUGAUGAUGUUCAAGAUGUUACUGACCAAGUAGUUGCAGAGAACUUGAAGAUGGUUUCAAGUUCUGAAGAU